AUCUCACAUCUUGCAAGGGACCAUGGCAAGGUUUGACAAAAGCGGGGAAUUCCUGUGAACAUCUGCCCCGGGGAAAGGAUUGUCCUCAGGUGUGGCAACAGGAGCCGGCUUCUCUCAGAAAAUGCCUGGUUUGUGAAUCACCCGGAACAACUACAGGUUAUAACUGACUGAACCUAACUUUCUUUGCUAUCUUAGAAGCCACCUAGAAAGCAGAAAUGGGAAUGGAAUUGACCAUCUGUAUCCUUACUAAGGGACAAACUCCCCAAGUGCCUUUUUGUCUCCCCUCGGACUUGGACAUCUUCCUUUUUUUUCUUUUCUUUUCUCCUUUUAAAAGAUUUAUAUAUUUUAUGUAUGUGAGUAUACUGUCUCUGUUUUUGGACAUCCCAGAAGCAUCAGAUCCCAUUACAGAUGAUUGUGAGCCACCACGUGGUUGCUGGGAAUUGAACUCAGGACCUCGGGAAGAGCAGAUAGUGCUUUUAAUGGCUGAGCCAUCUCUCCAGCCCUAGACAGUUUCUUUUUAUAAGUUAGCUGGAACACUUAAAAAGUGGAAGCCAUUGGAUGGCAUGAAGUCUCUCUCUCUCUCUCUCUCUCUCUCUCUCUCUCUCUCUGUGUGUGUGUGUGUGUGUGUGUGUUUCUUUCUUUUUCUUUUUUCCAGAUAAGAUUUCUCUGUAUACUCCUGUCUAUCUGUCCUGGAACACGCUCUGUAGACCAGGCUAGCCUCAAACUCACAGAGAUCCUCCUGCCUCUGUCUCCCAAUGGCUGGGAUCAAAGGUGUGCAGCCCAACCUCAGGGCACAUAAAGGUAUUUCUAAGCAUCUUUACAACCACCCUUGGCUAUAGAUGACACACGGCUGUGCCAUGAACAUCAGAGCUUUGUAGCUGUGCAUUCAUUGAGGUGCAUCAUAACCAAGAUUCAGAACGUUAAGUUACAAUUUCAUCCCCAGAGUCACCGAGUUCCUGUAAACUGCAUGGAACAGUACUUCCUUUUUGAUUGUACUUACUUCCUUCACUUUUUUCAGAGUGAAUGAAGAAGAGGAAGAGAGGAUCGUGGCUUAUCAUAGAGUUCACACAGGAAGGACACAGCAGGCGUUGUGUUUGAUAGACAGUCCUUUUGACCCCUGUCAGGGGAGGCAUUGGUAAAGCGUAACACAGCCUCGCCACUGACUGUGAGCCCUGUCUGUCCACCCGUAACUCUGGGAAUGAGGGAAGCAAAACCAAUUCCAGAGGUGCAGACAAAGAGUACCCUCCCCACGGAGCCCGCAUGAUAAGUGGCCCCAGAGAGCAUCCCUGUGAUCAGUCAGAGAGGCAGGCAAGUUAUUAGCUUAGCCCUGAACCUCCCACUUAAUGUAGGACCAGUGGUGAUGUUUAACAGACCCUGGCCGCGGUGACAAGCCUGGGACCUGCUCGAGGAAAUCCAAUUGAAAGGCAGCCAAGAGGAACAACAAGCUAGAAACAGAUGUUCUGGCCACCAGGAUGUACACACAUUUAACCUGAACGUGUGGCUGGAGGGAUAUAGCCAAGAGUGCUCACUCUCAAUACAGGGGUGUCAUCUCUUCCCCAAUAUACCGAUUGUCAAGUUCAAUUACAACCAUCCACAUUUGUUUUGUCAAAUUUUUAGCAGUUCCUUUAAAAUAAGAUGUCAAACUGAUAAUAACAGCUAUUCAAGGAAUUCAAGAAACUUGAUUUAUCUACUGGAUUUUACUAAAACAUUUCAGUAAAGUCACACACUCCAGUUUCACAGUAACUGAAAAUUAUUAUUAGUUUUUUAAAGCCACCUGGACGAAGUUCAGCUCAGCUAAGCAUUCUGUGUCUUAGCGGCACUUAGUUGAAACAUCUGUUAGGAGUUCCGUUUCUGUCCGUCCUUGUUUAGUCAGUUCUUGUCACUUAAAGCGCGGGGAAGGUACACUGGUAAACACAGAGAUCCUCAAACACGAGUGUCGCAAGUCAGUUAAUGCGACCUGGACACAGAUGGGAACACCUGAACAUCAGCAAUAUGUCUGUCACUCUCCUUUGAAAACAUUCUCCAACAGGCCUUGUAAAAGGCUGACAGGCUCACUGUCUUGAUUUUUCUCAAGGAAGAAAAACCCAUAUACACUCCAAUGGAUCCUAACCAGAUCUAAUAUAGAACAGCUGUGCGCUUAUGAACGCAUGGGGAAGAUUGAAAAGCACAGAUUAACGCAUCCCAGAAAAGGAGCCAGGUUUGAUCAGACACAUUUCCUGGGUCACCGAGUUCGUAGCUGCUUGUGGAUUAUCUAUCGGAAUAUGUCAUUCCGCAGAGAAGGGAGCAGCUAAAGGGAGCCUGCCCUGCCGUGUUCUGCCUGUGUGUGCUCUGAGACAUCCCAGGGGUAUUUAUGAGCGGGGUGAUCUUAAGCGAUGCUCGCUUAAAAUCCAAGAACGGCAGCAGAAAUAAAUUAACUGGAGAAUCU
ensembl:lincRNA Gm33994 predicted gene, 33994